rnacentral:snRNA from 1 species
UUACUAAAAAUACUAAAAUUGGAAUGAUAAAGAGAAGAUUAGCAUGGCCCCUGUGCAAGGAUGACACAAGAGCCUUUUAUUCUGCCAUCAUUUUA